CAGUCGCCGCGGUAAAACGUAGGUCCCGAGCGUUGUCCGGAUUUAUUGGGCGUAAAGGGAGCGCAGGCGGUUUAGUAAGUCUGAAGUUAAAGGCAUUGGCUCAACCAAUGUAUGCUUUGGAAACUGUUAGACUUGAGUGCAGAAGGGGAGAGUGGAAUUCCAUGUGUAGCGGUGAAAUGCGUAGAUAUAUGGAGGAACACCGGUGGCGAAAGCGGCUCUCUGGUCUGUCACUGACGCUGAGGCUCGAAAGCGUGGGUAGCGAACAGGAUUAGAUACCCCCGUAGUCCCUGUCUCUUAUACC
rnacentral:rRNA from 1 species